ensembl:lncRNA cyclic AMP receptor-like protein A
AUGUCUGUCCAUCCUUCGCAGAUGGUACGUGCCUCUUUUCAGCCUCAUUAUCCUGAUGAUGUGCUGCUAUGGCAGGAUCAUCUGUGUGGCCAAUCAGCGGAUACAGUCGUGGUUGGGAACCUUCAACCCCGAACGGGAGAGACGAAAGGUUUCCUUGGCAGAGGAGAUCAAGCCAUUGAAGUGGUAUCCAUCUGUAUAUCUGCUGGUUUCCAUCUUUCCUCUCAUCAACAGCUGGCUCUGCAGUCUCGGCUCUGUGACAGGACUCGAAUCGGAGAGUACCACCCUGGAGCGGUACGCUACACGCAGGCUGACCUUGUGGACCACAGCGAUGACGAUGACGAUGACACCAACGUUCUCUUCUACUCACCUGACAUGACCCUGAAAGACCGAGGGCCCUGAGAGAGAACCGUGGAAUAGGAGAGAGGAAGCAGGGAGACAAAGAGACGACGCAAAGGAGCACGAAGAAGGGUCACAGCCAGGGAGAAACACGACGGAUUAGAAACUGAGAGGCAGGAAAAAGAGGUAGGGAGGGAAUGGAGGAGAAGAUUGGGAGGACAUUCAGGCAGAUAGGAGCCGGAGAUGAGCUGUCAGGUUCCAUUAUUAAUCCCCAUCCUUUACUAUUUAAUAUCCUAAAGACGCACACAGCACACAUACUGAGCAGAGCAGCAGCUCACUGCAAUGCUGCCCACUCUAAAGACCCCUCUAAUGUUAGAGUCAUCUGCUGCAGUGCAAAGGUCUAGAAACCUAAUCUUCUUUUCUUUUCUGUUUUUUUCUCACCAUUUUCCUAAUCCUGUGUUGUGUCGUAUUUGGUCUCCAAGACAGGAAAUAGAUCAAGAAAAAACAACAUGUUGUUUUUAGCUUGAGCAACAAUUCUCUGCAGUAGAUGUGUUGAAAAGCAGAUAUUUAAAAGGAACUCUAAGCGAAGAAUGCAAAAAGAUAAAAUUAAAUGAUAGGAAAUCAGGCAUAGGAUGUAUUGAAAGAAAAUCAAUCUGACCACUAAAAGUCACUCCAAAAAAGUGCUGGUUUUUUUUAAAAGCAUUUGUUUUACAGCUAAUUGUGGCCAUCAGAGUUUUUUUUUUUUUUACAAAAGUUUGAAUUUUUUGUUCUUUUUUUAUUACCAUUAGACUUGUUCGUUAUACUAUAUUUAUGAGAUCAAUACUGUGUGUAUAUAUGUGAAAGUUCUAUUUUUGUACGUGCCUGAGACGAGAAAUUUAAAGAAAUCUUCAAAUCCAAGCCUGACAUCGUCACGUGACAGACAAGCACGGCAUCAUUCACAGCACACACACCGUCACAAUCCACGGGAGGAAAAGGGAAAAAAAAGCAGCCAUUAGUCAAACAUGUUCCCACGCACACACUCAGGCAGGUUUCAAAGGUGCUUGUCAAAACAGGUUGGAAAAGAUGACACACACUGCGACACCCACGGCGCAGCAUCAGCUUUGAUGGUUCAUCAUCUCGUGGCCUUUUGUCAGUCGUCGCUGAGCGGACAGCUGAGGUGUGAUUGGCAGGAUAAUGGAGCCACUUUAUAUUCAACCACAGCCAGCUUAGUUUUUCAACAUCCAGGUGGGUACCAUGGUGGUGGUUGAUGGGCGCUGUCCUCCAUGCAGCUGUCAGCCACCGCCCCUCUGACAGGGUGAACUAAUGAACUGACAUUUGACACCCCCCACCCCUAAGGUUUCAGACUUAUCAUUGGGUGUCUGUGGCACCCCAAUACAACUUGGGUUUGCAAUACGACACUAAAAUGCAACGCGCACUCAUUUCCAUAAUAUCUGGCACUGUUGCUGGUUGUACUCGACUGUGCACUCCAUCAAAUAAAUGAGCAGCACAGACAUUUCA